GAACGCUGGCGGCAUGCCUUACACAUGCAAGUCGAACGGCAGCACGGGAGCAAUCCUGGUGGCGAGUGGCGAACGGGUGAGUAAUAUAUCGGAACGUGCCCAGUCGUGGGGGAUAACGUAGCGAAAGCUACGCUAAUACCGCAUACGAUCUAUGGAUGAAAGCGGGGGAUCGCAAGACCUCGCGCGAUUGGAGCGGCCGAUAUCAGAUUAGGUAGUUGGUGGGGUAAAGGCUCACCAAGCCAACGAUCUGUAGCUGGUCUGAGAGGACGACCAGCCACACUGGAACUGAGACACGGUCCAGACUCCUACGGGAGGCAGCAGUGGGGAAUUUUUGGACAAUGGACGCAAGUCUGAUCCAGCCAUUCCGCGUGCAGGAUGAAGGCCCUCGGGUUGUAAACUGCUUUUGUACGGAACGAAAAGGUUUCUCUUAAUACGAGGAGCUCAUGACGGUACCGUAAGAAUAAGCACCGGCUAACUACGUG
rnacentral:rRNA from 1 species